rnacentral:tRNA from 1 species
CGCCGACCUGAUCGAGGCCGGGGUCGUCGUCGAGGCCGGCGCGGUCGAGUCCGAGGGCGGCCGGCCCCGGAUCCUGCUCCGGGUCGACGAC